CCUCGGUGAGGCUGCACACCUGUUGUGCAUUGAGCAAUCAAUCUGCACAGGUUGGACCAGCCAUCUCCGAACAUACUCACAAAAUGGAUAAUAAUAAUUAUGCCACACAGAGGUUAUAAUUCAGUAUUUUAUUUGUUUUCAUGGCCGCAUUCUGGAAAGAUCUGUAAAUGUUGGAUAUUAGAUAAAUAGAGUGAAGUUCAGUCAACUGGAUGGUCGCCCUCUUAGGUCGAGAGUGAGUUCUUCACCUCAUCUCUAUAACCAACAUGUCCUCUGUGGAUGUAUGUCGAAUGACCUCCUGGUGUCACAUGACGUGUACAGCAAUGCCUUCUUGGAAAUAUUCUGGGGAACAUCUGGAACACCUGCACCUGCCCUGGACCAGGCAGCUGGGCACUACAUCAGACAACACCGCAGGGGCCUGUUCCACUUUGAAAGCAUGCGCCUGCAUCCAUGUCACGUGUUUCUGUCUGCAAAAACAACAAGGUGGCUGAAAUGUAUAUUUGUUUGCAUUGUUAAGACACAAAAUUUUCAUUGCCAUCUAUGACUGCUUUGCCUGCUACGUUGUGUAUUUGACAAAUAAAAUAACUUGAACUUGC